GGGCUCAUAGAGCUGUCUACAGCCACACAAUUUCAAGCAAAUCCCCAAGGCAACACCUGAGAGCAGAAGUAGGCACCAGUGUGAAAUAGCUUGAUUGAAUACUGAUAAGUAGAGCUACAGUCUAAAUGCAUAUACAUGUUUGGAACCGAAGUCAGCCAUCUUCCCUAGGACAAAUCUUUACUCUUCUAAAGAAGGACAAGAAUAAGGUCUACUUUCAGCUAACCAUUUAUAAGGAUUUGAAUGACUUUCAUCGUAAUGAAGCCUUCUGCAGAGUAAUUGAUUUUGAUCAUGAGUACCUGUUGGAGUCCCACCAACUUUUCCUUCUAGAUUAUCUUACAGCAGUGGACCAGACAGUGGUGCUCCAGAGAGGCAAGUAUGUCUUUAAGGAAGCUUCCUGCUUGCCUGGGAAAGCUGCAGAGCAUGUGUCAUUCAACUGUCCUGUCUACAUCCAUGUUCAAAAACAGUCUUUUGGCUUUAAGGAUAAUCAACCCUUGGUACUCUUUCUUUAAAUAAAGAAAUGCUAUCAAACAAAAAGUGGUUCAAUACUGGCAUCCUGUGGCUGGAGAGAUUUAUCGAAUCUCUGAAAAUCUCAGCUCCUUGGAUUCUGAACAUUCCCUGGCUGUCAGUUCUCAGCAGCCUUUCACCAUUUUCUGAGUGCUAUUUGGUUACCUUUCGUUUUUCAUGGAAACAGCCUAGGUAAAACGUAUUUUGAUAUAGACUAUCAUUUUCACAGGGCUAAUCUACUCAUGCAUGAUCAGGGUAAAAAUAAAUGAUAAUAUAAAGGCUAUGGAAUUUUACCUAAUGAAAGGACAUGAUAUUAAAUCAUUGAACAAACUGCUCCAAGCAAAGGCUCUUGGUCUCUAAGUUCACACUGAGUUUCUCUCUAACAGAAAGAUCACAGAGUAGUUGGGAGAA